rnacentral:misc_RNA from 1 species
GGAUGAAGAACGCAGCGAAAUGCGAUAAGUAAUGUGAAUUGCAGAAUUCAGUGAAUCAUCGAAUCUUUGAACGCACAUUGCGCCCCCUGGUAUUCCGGGGGGCAUGCCUGUUCGAGCGUCAUUUCACCACUCAAGCCUCGCUUGGUAUUGGGCAACGCGGUCCGCCGCGUGCCUCAAAUCGUCCGGCUGGGUCUUCUGUCCCCUAAGCGUUGUGGAAACUAUUCGCUAAAGGGUGUUCGGGAGGCUACGCCGUAAAACAACCCCAUUUCUAAGGUUGACCUCGGAUCAGGUAGGGAUACCCGCUGAACUUAAGCAUAUCAAUAAGCGGAGGA